AGUCUUAUAUUCAAAAUGAUUUUAAACUGCAAAUUUAAAGGUGGGGGUGCCCUAAGGCUU
rnacentral:tRNA from 1 species